rnacentral:rRNA from 1 species
UCUUGGUCAUUUAGAGGAAGUAAAAGUCGUAACAAGGUUUCCGUAGGUGAACCUGCGGAAGGAUCAUUACUGAGAGUACCGGGCUUCUUGCCUGGCUACUUUUACCCAUGUUUUUGUAGCACCAAAAGUUUCCUCGGCGGGUUCUGCCCGCCGGUCGGACUCCAUUCAAACCCUUUGUAGUUGCAGUCAGCGUCAGAUAAACUUAAUAAUUACAACUUUCAACAACGGAUCUCUUGGUUCUGGCAUCGAUGAAGAACGCAGCGAAAUGCGAUAAGUAGUGUGAAUUGCAGAAUUCAGUGAAUCAUCGAAUCUUUGAACGCACAUUGCACCUCUCGGUAUUCCGGGAGGUAUGCCUGUUCGAGCGUCAUUUGUACCCUCAAGCUUUGCUUGGUGUUGGGUGUUUGUUCCGCCUCUGCGUGUGAACUCGCCUUAAAACAAUUGGCAGCCGGCGUACUUGUUUCGGAGCGCAGCACAUCUUGCGUUCAGUUCAGCGUACACUGGCAUCCAAGAAGCCUUUUUUUAACGCUCUUGACCUCGGAUCAGGUAGGGAUACCCGCUGAACUUAAGCAUAUCAAUAAGCGGAGGAA